UGGGGAAUAUUGCACAAUGGGCGCAAGCCUGAUGCAGCCAUGCCGCGUGUAUGAAGAAGGCCUUCGGGUUGUAAAGUACUUUCAGUCGGGAGGAAGGUGGUAAGGUUAAGAACCUUAUCAAUUGACGUUACCGACAGAAGAAGCACCGGCUAACUCCGUGCCAGCAGCCGCGGUAAUACGGAGGGUGCAAGCGUUAAUCGGAAUUACUGGGCGUAAAGCGCACGCAGGCGGUUGAUUGAGUCAGAUGUGAAAUCCCCGGGCUCAACCUGGGAACUGCAUCUGAUACUGGCAAGCUUGAGUCUCGUAGAGGGGGGUAGAAUUCCAGGUGUAGCGGUGAAAUGCGUAGAGAUCUGGAGGAAUACCGGUGGCGAAGGCGGCCCCCUGGACGAAGACUGACGCUCAGGUGCGAAAGCGUGGGGAGCAAACAGG
rnacentral:rRNA from 1 species